CAGAUGGACCUUCCAGAGUCAUUGUCUUCCUUAGGAUCUUCAAAGAUUUCACCGAAGAACCAGCAUGUGUCCCUGACCUGAUGGAAUGUGUCCUUACCAGGAUAAAAAAUCGAUGCAAUACUGUUGGAAAGUGACCCCAUGGUUUGAAGCAAACCAAAUUAUACGUUAAAGCAAAAAAUUACCUCCAGAAUAAACGCUAAGCACAGUGACUGUCUACAAAGGCCAUGUUUUAAGCAUUCGCACUCCAGGACCCUGGGCUUAGUGGCACAUUAGACACUCAAUAAUUGCAUAUCUAGCAUUCAGAAACUUUUAAGUGGUUCUUAUUUUGAUUCCUUUCCCCUCUCUGUAGUGGGAACUGCCCUCAAUCAUUCUGACAGGUAUUUCUCUUGCCGCCCACAAAUUUUCAGCCCUGCAGUAUACCACAUUGGUCUGGACUCUAGCAUAUGCAGGAUUUAUGCCAGGCUUGCAAAAGAUCCCUGAAUCAGCCAGUCCAAACCCCCUCUUUGUGCCAUGUCUACCUCGGGUGAUGGCAGUGUGACAGCAUUCUCACCUCCACCCCCAAGACACACACACACACACCCUGGAUAUCUCACCAUAAUAAUAAUGUAUUUUAUAUCAUGAGCAGGGGAAUACGAUUAAAUCUUCCUCCUAUACCCCAGGUUCAGAAAAGAAUAAUAAUGAUUUCCUAUAUUAUGUGGAAUCUCAUAGUUCACAAAAUAAUUUCAGAUCCACCAUCUGCUUUGAAUGUCACAGCACCCUGUGUAAUAAGUAAGUCAGGAAUGGUGUCCCAUUAGCCACAGAUCAAAGAAGCAUGGACCAGAGUAAGGAAGCAAUUUUCUGAAGGACACACAGCAAAUUAGGAGGAGGAAUGGACCCCACACACAAGUCUGUGUACUCUGGGCUAAUGCUCUUCAAGGCCUUUUUCCUCCUUGCUCUGAGCUUACUUCUUGCAGGUGUCAGAAAGGUACAUUGAUAGGACAACUUGCUUCCCCCAGACAGCCCCACCUCUUCAAAGAUAUCCACAAGUUUGCCCACACAAGUAUUCCAUCCCUACCUCCUAAUUUCCACCUUUACAAAUGGCACGUCCCAGCCCCACAUUGCCCACAGCACCUCCGGGUCUCUGCUUCUGUCUAAAAUCCUCAUCUCCAUUCUUGUGCCUCCAAUCCUGCCAGUCUUUCAGGCCCAUCUUUAACAGCUCUUUAUCCAGGACACUCUCUGAUGCUGCCAUCACAGCCUGCAACAGCCACAGGAGAAGCCACCCCUCUCUGUAUCCCUGUAACCCUUGAUUCUUCCUCGCAUGGUCAUCAUUUCUGGUCUUGGGACUUCUCUUCUAUUAGCCCAGUGGGUACCUGGAGGGCAGGAACCAGGGUACACUUGCCUUGGGAGCUCCCACAGACCUCACAUGGUACCUACAUCUAGUAGGGACUCAAUCAAUAUCCAUGCAUUCAUUGUAUUAAUCUUGGAAGGAAGCACAAUGUGUAUUACAUAGAGGGAGGUUUACCUGUGCAAGGACAACCCCUUUAUAAAUUCAAGAAUAUAGACACAAUGUGUCGGGCACAGUGGCUCAUGCCAGUAAUCCCAGCACUUUGGGAAGCUGAGGCAGGUGGAUGACUUGAGAUCAGGAGCUCAAGACAAGCCUGGCCAACCAGGGUAAAACCCCAUCUCUACUAAAAAUACAAAAACUAGCUGGGCAUCAUGACACACGCCUGUAAUCCCCGCUACUCUGGAGGCUCAGGCAGGAGAAUUACUUGAACCCAAGAGGCAGGGGUUGCAGUGAGCUAAGAUCGCGCCACUACACUCCAGCCUGGGCAACAGGGUGACUCUGUCUCAAUUUAAAAAAAAGAAAGAAAGAAAGGAUAUACACACAAUGUAAAAUCACUGCACCGAGUCAGUAUAGGGGCUGCCUUAAACUCAGGGAACAGCCAAAUCUGUUUAUGAAUUAAAAGAACAGUCACUAAGGAGGCAAGAUCAAGUAUCAUCAAAACAUUAGGCCUUGACAUAGAACCUGAAGGAUUCCCCCAAGCCCUAGGGCUGUAUCCAGACAGAAUUUUCAUUCCAUAACUAUCACAAAAUGUCUCUUUCAUUUCCAGCUCUGUGUUAGAGGUCAGGGACAUAAACGGCUCUCAUCUCCAGGCCCUGCCAUGAUGGACCUCACAGCCUAAUGGGGAAAAGAGACACAAAACCAGACAAUGACAGAACAAUAUAAAAGCACUGGGGGACACCCAGACAGGCAUAAUAGCGCAAAGAGGGAAGGUGCCCAGGUGGGAGAACCUAGGCUACGUUAUGAAGAUGACAUUUCCCAUGCAAAUACACAUAAACGUGUCUAUCACUCUUGUGCACAUGUGUGGGGCUGUGUGUUGGGAUGGCAUUAAUAGUAGCUAAGGUGUUAAAAAAUACAAUACUAAAAUUCCCAGGCAAAGCAAAAGUUUCCACCAAUUAUCCGAAUAAUUUUUCCAAAAGUUCAGAUAAUAGGCACGUUUAAGAAAUUUCUGGUACAAAGAAACAAACAUGUGGCUACCUUUUCCUUUUUAGCAGGAUGCUUUAAUGCCACAUAAACACAUGCUCAUUACCAAGCUGAAAGCUGAUUUACAUAGCAUCACCUCUGAAGCAUACAAAGAUAAGAAAAUUCAAGUGCUCCGAACCUCAGUUUUCUUAACAAUAAUACGGAAGUAAAAUACAGACCUCGCAGGAUUUGCUGGGGGGAGAUUCCAUGAGAUGAUGUAUGUAAAAGACUCUUUGCAAUGAAAACCACAAUAGCAAGCUCUUGAUCACUUUUAGCUCACACGCUGGGAAUCAGCAUAGUAUUAUGGGCAGGAACAUGGACUGGAGUCUGUGGAUGUGGGUUCAAAUCCCAGCUCCACCCAACUGCAAUGAUCUGAGGCAACACUACCUAUGUAGCCUUUCUUAGCCUGAGUCUCCUAAACUGUACAAUGAGGAUUUUAAUGCGUACCUCAUAGCUCUAAUGAUUAAAUGAUGUAAUAUGGUGAAAUACCACAGUACAGGUAGUAAAUUCUCAAUACAGCAUAACUAGCAUCAUGUUACUCUUGUCAAAUAUUUUGUCUAAUAUUUCAAGGGAAGGUCAGAAGAUGGAGUUCACAAUCUACAUAAUCCACAGAUGCUCAGGUGUUACAAGUAGUGGGAGGGAGACGGCACAAUAUGGGACAGGCUAAGAGUUCUGGGUCUGAUUAUUCCAUUCAGCUGCUGGCAUGGGGCUGACUCUGGGAGACAGCCACCCACAGUCAUGGGAGUAGGGGCAAUUCUCUGAAGAGGGCAAAAACAAUCAAGGGUGUCAGCUGCAUGUCUCAGAUUAUUGAUUAUCUUCAUCCAUUUGUGCUGCUAUAACAGAAUGCCUGAGACUGGAUAAUUUAUACACAACAGAAAUUCAUUUCUCACAAUUCUGGAGGCUGGGAAGUCCAAGAUCAAGGUUCAGCAUCUGGUAAAGACCUAUUCAUCAUAGAUGGCACCAUCUAGGUGUCCUUACAUGGCAGAAGGGACAGAAGGGCAAAAGGGCAUGGAGCCCUAGCUAAUUCCCUUGAGCCUUUUUAGAAGGGCACUAAUCCAUUCAUGGGGGUAGAGCUUCACCGCCUCAUAUCAUGACAUUGCUGAUGAAGUCUAAACAUAUUAAUACAGGGGGCAUACAUUCAGACCAUAGCAUAUGUCUCAUGUACUUACAUUUGAAAUAAGACCAGCUUUUCACUGGACAUCUCUCUCUCUCUCUCUGUCUCUUUCACUCACACAUCACACACACACACACACACACACACACACACACACAUACACUUCCUAUGAGGAGACCCCAGACAUCUUUUUAAAUGUGUACAACUAGUUUUGGAAAAUAAAAUAUUCAGCUGACCUAAUUUUUACAUUGGGAAUAGGAGACAUAAGUGUAUUUUCAAUAAAUCCACCAAAAUAUUUAUUUUAUUUCAACAUUAAGAUGUAAAAAGUCAGAGAGAGAGAACAGAGUAUGACAGCGUCAGUGAGCCGCCCACCUCCCUUUGGUGCUCCCCAAAGCCUAGCGCCUGCAGAAAGCUCCUGCCACCACCAGGGGCGACCUGCAUCUCCAGAGUGAUGGCAAUUUGUGGCUGUGGGUGCAGAGCAGGCUGGAAGUGACAGAUGGUGGAGAAUCAUCCCUACUUCCUUAUACCUUGGUGGGCAAUUAUGAGUCUCUCAGGAGGUUCCAGCAGGACUGCACGCUGGUACCUAUGGCAGGAGCCCCUGGUUAACCCUCUUUGUGGGCUUUUCCUCACUUCCUUGUCUCACAAUCCCUCUCUCCAGCUGUGGUUUCUUGGGAUCACCUCCAGAAUGAACUACUUAAACCCAAACCCUUGGCUCAAGGUGUACUUUGGGGGAUGCAAAACUAAGACACAGAGAGAAAAAUGAGAAAAUAAUUUAGAAAGAAAGAAUGAAGGCAAGAGGAGCAUUAUAACUGAUGGCAAGGAAGACCUGGAGGGAAAGAGAUGAGAUUAAGUAGGGGAAGGAAAAGACCAGAGAUGAAUGUCAGGCUUCCAUGACCAGGAAGCCCCUGUUUACUACCUGCCAACCCAACUCGUGCCAUCUGCCAAACCACACACCCCAAAAACCCAUGCACCUGCCCCCAGAUGUUCUCAGAUCCCCCGUCCCCACUGGCGUUGGUGAGCACUCACCCCUUGUCACCUGGUCCACCAGCCAAUGCAGAGGACAGAGUCUAGCCCCAUGGCUCCAACUCCCCAACCCAACACCUCCAGGUCCCACCUUCCUCCAAAAUCAUGGGUGGGGAUUUUCGGUCAGACAACUGGCCCUGUGAGGUUAGAGACCCCAAGAGUGUAAGUACAAUAGGAACCUACACUCUUGAUAAAGCCCCUGGCUGAGACAAAUCUCUUUCCCAAGAACGUGGUGUUACAAGAGAUGCAAGAGACAAAUUUUA
rnacentral:tRNA from 10 species